CCCCAAAGUCACAAACUGUGCUUCAAAACUGCCUUUGCUUUUUUUGUAAUUUUAUAAAACCAGGCCACAGAUCCAGAUGCAGGAAGCAAUGGACUUUUGACGUACAGCUUAUUGAAUUGUCAAGAAGAAUUUGAUGUCAAUGAAAAUACAGGGGAGAUUUAUACAGUUUCUAUAUCAGGAAUAGCUGGAUCACUUUUUCUGAAACUCCAAGCUGCAGACCAAGGUGGACUCACAGCCCGCACAACAGUCAAUGCAACUAUUUAUGUCACCUCCAGUAGCAACAUUGUGGUGUUUGUUCUUAAUCAGAAGAUCAACGCUGUUGAAAGAAACAUUGAUGAAGUAAAAAGGGUCCUGGAGGAGAAACUUGAAUGGAAUGUAUACAUUGUUGAAGUUUAUUCCAAUGAGCUCGAAAGGAGAGCAAGAAACACCAUGAAUGAAACCUUCAUAAAAAUUAUUGCAAUUGGUAACGCAAAUGGUGAAAUACCUGCAGAAGAUGUUAAAAGGUCUGUACAGUAAAUCUUCUGGGUGUCAGAG
rnacentral:lncRNA from 1 species